rnacentral:rRNA from 1 species
UACGAAGGGGGCGAGCGUUGUUCGGAUUUACUGGGCGUAAAGGGCGCGCAGGCGGCCAUCUUUGUCAGGCGUGAAAGCCCCGGGCUUAACCUGGGAGGUGCGCUUGGGACGGGAUGGCUAGAGAUCGGGAGAGGAGAGUGGAAUUCCCAGUGUAGAGGUGAAAUGCGUAGAUAUCAGGAGGAACACCUGCGGUGUAGACGGCUUACUGGACCAUAACUGACGCUGAGGCACGAAAGCGUGGGUAGCAAACAGG